rnacentral:rRNA from 1 species
UACAGAGGUCUCAAGCGUUGUUCGGAUUCAUUGGGCGUAAAGGGUGCGUAGGCGGCGCGGUAAGUCGGGUGUGAAAUCUUGGAGCUUAACUCCGAAACUGCAUUCGAUACUGCCGUGCUUGAGGACUGGAGAGGAGACUGGAAUUUACGGUGUAGCGGUGAAAUGCGUAGAUAUCGUAAGGAAGACCAGUGGCGAAGGCGAAUCUCUGGACAGUUACUGACACUGAGGCACGAAAGCGUGGGUAGCAAACAGG